CUUCACUUCUGUUGGCCUUAAGUUUAUGGCAAGAUAAGCAGACGAUUUCAACUUCAACCUUUCAGUGGAAGGAACACAGAGACAAUUCAGUGUGUCUGCUCUGUACAGUACCGAGAGAAUAAACAAACGAUGGACCUAUAAGAGACUGUGAACAAGCCAGAGGUGCUGUCUCUUGAGCUGGGAGAUGACUGCAGGCGUAAGUGUUGCUAUGACAUUGUGCACCCACUGGCUUUACUCUCUCUUCAGUGUAGAUGAAUGAGAAGUUUGAGAUUACAGGUCCCUGAGAUUCCUGAUGUCGAAUCCCUUAUUAGUGCAAUUCCAACUUGCUGUGCCAGCUACGCUCUGGAGCAACCCUGGAUGCUGGACAAGCAUACUUUUGUGUUGUGCAAAAUCUCCUUUGACAGUUUAGUCUUUAUUAACAUUAAAAAAUGUUAGUGUAGAAAUAUGUCAGUCUAAACUGAUGUUUUAU